rnacentral:rRNA from 1 species
CCUACGGGAGGCAGCAGUGGGGAAUAUUGCACAAUGUGGGAAACCCUUAUGCAGCGACGCCGCGUGAGCGAUGAAGUAUUUCGGUAUGUAAAGCUCUAUCAGCAGGGACGAAGAUGACGGUACCUGACUAAGAAGCCCCGGCUAACUACGAGCCAGCAGCCGCGGUACUACGUAGGGGGCAGGCGUGAUCCGGAUGUACUGGGUGUAAAGGGAGCGUAGACGGCGAUGCAAGCCAGAUGGGAAAGCCCGGGGCUCAACCCCGGGACUGCCUUUGGAAGUGUGUGGCUGGAGUGUCGGAGAGGCAGGCGGAAUUCCUAGUGUAGCGGUGAAAUGCGUAGAUAUUAGGAGGAACACCAGUGGCGAAGGCGGCCUGCUGGACGAUGACUGACGUUGAGGCUCGAAAGCGUGGGGAGCAAACAGGAUUAGAUACCCCUGUAGUC